CUCCAGCCGGGGGCGGGGCCCGGGGGGCACUGAAAACCCCCCAGGUCCCCUCAGUGCCCCACACACCUGAGACCCCCCCCCACGGGACCCCCAUGGCACCUCCACCGCCCCCCGGCCACCUCAGCCUGGCCCGCGGGGUCCAGCCCCCCCUGUACCAGGACGCCGUUGCCCGCCGGGCUCUGCGGCCCGCGCUGCUCAGGAGCGUUUCGGUGCCGGCCGAGCCCCCCGCGCCCCCCGCCAUGGAUGUCACCUACGCCGUGGUCAACAAGCCCCGCCGAGGGGGCGGGGCCGCGGGGAGAGGCCCCUCCCCUUUAAGACGAGAUCACGCCCCCUUCGGACGAGACUCCGCCCCCUCGGGCACGUGCUCGCUGCCGGGCAGCCCCGUGCGCCGCCCCUCCCCCAGCCCGGCAGGCUCCCCCAGACCCUCGGAUGGCGCCUACGAGGUUGUGACCCCCCCUGUGGACACCGGCAGUGGCCCCUGCCUGGGUGAGCACAGGGGGGGUCUCGGUCUCUGGAAAGGGUUUGGGGGGUCCUGGAGGGGUUUAGGGGAGACAUCAAUGUCCAGCCCCCCUCACUGACCCCCUGCUCCUCCCUCCAGGGUUUAAUUUCCGCAUUGGGAAGCCCAAGGGCCCGCGGGACCCCCCGGCCGAGUGGUCCCAGGUGUGAGGAGGGGUCCGGAUCCUUGAGCCCCCCCCACAGAGGAGGGGCUGCAGCAGAACCCGGCUGAUCCUUACAGAAACCGAUAUAGACAAAAACGAUUUAUUAUCACAAAUAAAAACUGAUGGUGAGAAUCCUGGCCGUGCCUG
rnacentral:lncRNA from 1 species